GACAGAGGGUGCAACCGUUGUUCGGAAUUACUGGGCGUAAAGCGCGUGUAGGCGGCUCGGAAAGUCGGAUGUGAAAGCCCAGGGCUCAACCCUGGAAGUGCACUCGAAACUCCCGAGCUGGAGUCCCGGAGAGGAAGGCGGAAUUCUCGGUGUAGAGGUGAAAUUCGUAGAUAUCGAGAGGAACACCUGUGGCGAAGGCGGCCUUCUGGACGGUGACUGACGCUGAGACGCGAAAGCGUGGGGAGCAAACAGG
rnacentral:rRNA from 1 species